CUUUGAAGUGCGUUAAAUAUACGGUUAAAUACUUGCAGUUCUUCGUACUGUUUUAUCUAUGGUCUGCGUCGUCUACCAACCGUGACUGGACAGACUGCGCCAGAGUUACAGAUGGGAAUGUUGCAGCGUUAAGCCAAGCGCCAGCAUGCCAGUCGGAGAUGAGAGAGCAGAAACGCUAUGAAGAAGGCGUCAGCCAGUUGCAUGCUGAUCGACCCAUCUCCAGGGUGACAAUGCGUAGUAGCGGCCUUCAUGCCAAGAGGAUAUAAGCAGCACACCCGACUGGCCACAGCCAGUUCAACACUUGCAUGAAGA